AUGAUAUGCCCGUACUCGCGUGGCGAAGAUGCUUCGACUAAGUGCUCCAAGCUCUGCCCCGCCAUAGCUCUUUCGGGAAAAGUUACUUGCGAGGUUGCCGAGGGAUCAAGAUUCGUCCACAGGGAUGGCCUUGUCAUCAUCAUAUUUAACUGGAGAGAUGGACCGCGGAGCAUCUUCUCGACCUGGAGGAAGAUCCCGGAUUGGAGCAUAA